rnacentral:rRNA from 1 species
UACGUAGGGUGCAGGCGUUAAUCGGAAUUACUGGGCGUAAAGCGUGCGCAGGCGGUUUGCUAAGACAGGUGUGAAAUCCCCGGGCUAACCUGGGAACUGCGCUUGUAACUGGCAAGCUAGAGUGUGGCAGAGGGGGGUGGAAUUCCACGUGUAGGCAGUGAAAAUGCGUAGAGAUGUGGAGGAACACCGAUGGCGAGGGCAG